rnacentral:lncRNA from 1 species
GUUUUACUUUAUUUUUCAAUUUUUUUUUUACUGUUUCACUGCCAGCAAAUAGCUAACGUGGCCGGCAAUAGCCUAGAACUCGCCGCCGAAUCAUAAUAAACAAAAGUUCCGGUACGUACCGUCUCUGGGCCUUUUGUUGGGCUCUCGCCUUAUUCCGACGACCGAUAUAUGCCCUUUCUCCCCACUUUACUUUCUUCGUCCGUGUGCCACACG